AUGUGUGUGUGUGUGUGUGUGUGUGUGCAUUUUUUCACCAGAAAAACAAUUGCAACAUAAAGAAAACAUUGGAUGAAGAGCUGAGAUUUAAUGUGACAAAUCCUUCUCUCACCCCAAGUCUGUGAGUUCAGAGAAGUUCCGAGGUGGCAGAGAGGCAUCAUCUGGGUUUGAAAUCAAUUUAAGUGGCAUCCUCCCAUCGAACAUUUAAUUGGUCCCUGAAGAGUUGGUCGUUUAGAGAACAAGGAAAAAGAUGAACUUAGGAAGAUUGAAGUCAUCCUGAAUCCUGAUAUUACUGCCCCCAGAUCCCACCAGCUACUGGAAGAAUUUGUGAAGCAGCACAAAGCACCAGUAAA